rnacentral:tRNA from 1 species
AGUAAGGUCAGCUAAAUAAGCUAUUGGGCCUGUACCCUGAAAAUGAUGGUUCACAUCCUUCCCAUACUA